rnacentral:rRNA from 1 species
GAUGAACGCUAGCUACAGGCUUAACACAUGCAAGUCGCGGGGCAGCAUGGGGGUUGCUUGCAAUCCCUGAUGGCGACCGGCGCACGGGUGAGUAACGCGUAUCCAACCUGCCCUUCACCACGGGAUAACCCGGCGAAAGUCGGACUAAUACCGUAUGUUGUCCAUUGACGGCAUCCGAUUUGGACGAAAGGCUUAGCGGUGAGGGAUGGGGAUGCGUCCGAUUAGCUUGACGGCGGGGUAACGGCCCACCGUGGCUACGAUCGGUAGGGGUUCUGAGAGGAAGGUCCCCCACACGGGAACUGAGACACGGUCCAGACUCCUACGGGAGGCAGCAGUGAGGAAGAUUGGUCAAUGGGCGUAAGCCUGAACCAGCCAAGUAGCGUGCAGGAUGACGGCCCUAUGGGUUGUAAACUGCUUUUAGGCGGGGAUAAAGGGACCCACGUGUGGGUUUUUGCAGGUACCGCAUGAAUAAGGACCGGCUAAUUCCGUG